CGAAUUGUGGGGUGGCGGUUUUUAGAAAAUUCAGUCUAACAGUUGCAGAUUGUGGAGCACAUAAUCUAUCCAUCCUUGAGAGAGCUAGCACUCUAGAAGGAUAGAAGACGUUCGUAUGGAUACCAUUGAGGGUGUUCGUUUGAAAAAGCAGCACCAUCAGUCCGGCAUUGUAUCUUCUCGACGAUAUUAACAGGUUAGUCUCAUAUCCUUCCUUUGAAAUAAAUGAAGCACUCGGAUUCUGGGAAAGGAAAUCAAAG
rnacentral:lncRNA from 1 species